UACAGAGGGGGCGAGCGUUGUUCGGAAUUACUGGGCGUAAAGGGCGCGUAGGCGGCCCGCUAAGUCGAACGUGAAAUCCCCAGGCUCAACCUGGGAACUGCGUCCGAUACUGGCAGGCUUGAAUCCGGGAGAGGGAUGUGGAAUUCCAGGUGUAGCGGUGAAAUGCGUAGAUAUCUGGAGGAACACCGGUGGCGAAGGCGGCAUCCUGGACCGGCAUUGACGCUGAAUAGCGAAAGCCAGGGGAGCAAACGGG
rnacentral:rRNA from 1 species